rnacentral:lncRNA from 1 species
UUAUAGAUCUCGAUGCAUUGGGUCAAUAAAAAGAUGGGGAAAAUGGAGAUGAAUAAAAUUAAUGUUUCAGGGCAAGUGGAACACACCCAAACGACAUAUUUAAUUUCAUAUAGUGAAAUUAAGUGUAUUCAUAUAAGAAGGUUAGAGCUAACAAAAUCAAAACACAUGCUAUUUAAAGUCAUCAUUGCGCUCAGAACUUGCACGGGAUACAUAAUGGGAAAGAGUGUAGCGACAGAUACGCAGUCAAGAAUAAGCUUUUGGUCAGGUCUAAAAUUGUUAAUGGAUUAGAGUAUGCUUGACAAGACACUGAGGCUGUAACAUAUGUUCUUUCUAAGGGGUAUUAACAUUUUAUGCAUUA